ensembl:lncRNA
CACAGCAUCACCAGCAUCUGCCCAGCUGCUGCCCUGGGUGUCACGGGGUGCUCCAGAUGUGCAGCGAGCAAAACCAAGGACUUCAGUUCUGCAGGACACUGCAAGCUUCCUGACCCUGCCCUGAAAAUCAUCUCGAGAAGCAGGUGUGAUGUGUCUGACUGUGCAGAGAAAGCAGUUUCCUUACUUUCCCUGUUACGUGGCUGAAUGGAGGCAGUGAGAAGCCUGGUGGAUUGAUGAGCUCCUGAGCCAAAGACAUCCCAGGUCUGAGCAAGGCAAGAGCUCCAUCCCUGUUGCGUCAGGCCGAAUGGAAGCCAACACUUGCCAUGAAGUAAGAAAAUUUGUUUCAUGCCAUGGAAUGUUGAUACUAAAUGGAAGGAGGGGAAGAAAAGAGCACACAUCUGCAUGUUGGAAAAGGAGCGGUUAGCUACCUUCUUGCAUGUGCUGGCUCUCUUUGAACACCUCCAUCGCCACCUAAGAGACAAUGUGGAGAGGUGCUUUGUCCACUGCAAUCUGUUCCUGCAUGGGAUGACACUUGGAUGACUGGAGCAUGCUGGAGCCAGGUGAAUGAUGCACAGGGCUUCCCAGGCUUGGAGCUGUUGCCAGCUGUUGGGCUGCUGCUCUUGGAUUCACAGAAUCAUAAUCACAGAAACACAGAAUGGCCAGGGUUGGAAGGGACCUCAAGGAUCAUGAAUCUCCAACCCCCUGCCACAUGCGGGGCCACCAAUCUCCCCAUCUCAUACCAGACCAGGCUGCCCAGGAUUCCUGUACCUGCACCUGCCUGGUUGCUCCUGAGCAGAGAUGUGCCUUGCUCAGGGAGCAGGUGAUGUCAGCUCAAGGCAAAGUACAACAGGGUGGAAACAACAAAAAAUGAGCUGAGAGAAUGUUGUACUCGCACAGGCAGAUCUCUUAACACUCCAGAAUUAGUGACAGGCUGAGACCUAUGCUGUGCAGGAAGGAUGCAGGAAGAGGCCAUCUGUGGAAGCAGUGGGACACUUGUCAUCCCAGCGAGGCAGCAAGACAGAAUCUUCUUCCAGCAAAAGCCAGCAAACAGACGGAGCUUGCUUCCAUCUGCCAACCUCAGUCUGAAUCAAGCAGAAAGAGACAGAAAUCCCAUAGGACAUCUCAUCUUCCUAGAAGGUGGCUGGAUAGGAUGCUCUUCCCAGAUUCGUGGCACGAACACACGAGGAAAAUGCCAUUCACUCUGCAUUACUGUUGUGUUCUCUGCAAGUGCCUCAGCUUCCCCACCCGGUAAUUGUGCUGCCUUGUGA